rnacentral:rRNA from 1 species
AUUAGAUACCCUGGUAGUCCACGCUGUAAACUAUGAUCACUCGCUGUUGGCGAUACACUGUCAGCGGCCAAGGGAAACCAUUAAGUGAUCCACCUGGGGAGUACGGUCGCAAGAUUGAAACUCAAAGGAAUUGACGGGGGCCCGCACAAGCGGAGGAGCAUGUGGUUUAAUUCGAUGAUACGCGAGGAACCUUACCUGGCUUAAAUGUUGGACGGCAGUUCCCGAAAGGGGACUUUCCUUCGGGACGUCCAGCAAGGUGCUGCAUGGUUGUCGUCAGCUCGUGCCGUGAGGUGUCGGGUUAAGUCCCAUAACGAGCGCAACCCCUAUCCUUAGUUGCCAUCAGGUAAUGCUGGGGACUCUAAGGAAACUGCCUACGCAAGUAGUGAGGAAGGUGGGGAUGACGUCAAAUCAGCACGGCCCUUAUGUCCAGGGCUACACACGUGCUACAAUGGCCGGUACAGAGGGCAGCUACCUGGUGACAGGAUGCUAAUCUCGAAAGCCGGUCUCAGUUCGGAUCGAAGUCUGCAACUCGACUUCGUGAAGUCGGAUUCGCUAGUAAUCGCACAUCAGCCAUGGUGCGGUGAAUACGUUCCCGGGCCUUGUACACACCGC